GCAAAGGUACUAUAGUGGUUGUAGGUCUGUUUUAGGCACAGUUUAGGUUGGUUCGAGUCCAGCCCUUUGUG
rnacentral:tRNA from 1 species